UCUAGCCUGGGUCGACUGGACAAUAACCCGAUAGAGGAGAACUGUUCCUUGGUCAAGGGUGUAUGAGUAGUUGCACUCCCCUUCUAGAACCUACAAAUAAACUCUCAAGGAAGAUACUAAAUUAUAAAUCAAAC
rnacentral:sRNA from 1 species